UUGGAUCAGGCACACCGCACACCUUCUAUGCUCUGCCGAUGUCUCUUCUUCCGGCGAUUCGCUCCAUCAUCAGUAAUGUCUACAAACCUUCCCUUCUCCUCUCGAACCGCACCACAAGAAGACUAUCCUCUCUUCUCCUAGUCUCCCAGAUACCCAAAUUCAAAACCCAAUUCUUCAAGACCCUAAAAUGUCACGCCGCCUCCAAAGAGAAUUCCUUGCUUUUCACCAAGGACGAGCGCUUGCCUGGCCCAGACUCUGUAAAUGGGAAGGUCAGUAAUGACCAUUCAAGUACGAUUGCGGCAAUCGUGACUUCCAUUGGUGGCCCGCCGUCUGCCGUGGGAAUUGUUCGUUUGUCGGGGUCGGAUUCCGUGGAUAUUGUGGGGCGAGUGUUUCGGCCGGCCAAGAAGAAGAAGAGGAGGAACGGUGGUCAGUUGAGUCCAUGGCAGCCCAAGAGCCACGUUGUGGAGUAUGGUCACGUUUUGGACCAUCAAGGCAAUAUUGUCGAUGAGGUUUUGGCCGUUCCCAUGUUGGCCCCAAGGUCUUACACUUGCGAAGAUGUGGUAGAGCUUCAAUGUCAUGGGAGCAAAGUGUGUUUGCAUCGUGUCUUGAGAGCAUGUUUAGAGGCUGGUGCGAGGCUUGCAGAACCAGGUGAGUUUACACUCCGAGCCUUCCUGAAUGGUCGCUUAGACCUAUCUCAAGCUGAAAGCAUUGAAAAACUAAUAUCUGCCAAGUCUGUGGCUGCUGCUGAUGCAGCAUUGUCAGGAAUCCAGGGAGGAUUUUCUUCUUUGGUCAGAUCACUAAGAAGUCAGUGCAUUGAGUUGCUUACAGAGAUAGAAGCUCGUUUAGAUUUUGAUGAUGAGAUGCCACCCCUAGAUUUGAACUUGAUUGUCGAUAAAAUACAUGCUAUGUCCCAAGAUGUUGAGAAUGCACUGGAGACAGCCAAUUAUGACAAGCUUCUGCAAUCUGGAUUGCAGAUAGCAAUUAUUGGUCGUCCCAAUGUUGGAAAGUCAAGCCUCCUUAAUGCAUGGAGCAAAAGUGAGAGAGCUAUAGUUACAGAAAUUGCUGGAACCACCAGGGAUGUAAUUGAAGCCAGUGUUUCUGUUCGUGGUAUUGCUGUAACAAUUCUUGAUACAGCAGGCAUCAGGGAAACAGAUGAUGUUGUGGAAAAGAUUGGUGUAGAGAGAUCUGAAGCAGUUGUUACAGCUGCUGAUGUUAUUGUUAUGGCAGUCAGCGCUCUUGAUGGAUGGACUUCAGAAGAUGGGCAACUUCUUCGUAGGAUUCAAUCUUUAAAGGCAUCAGUAGGAUCGUCAGCUCCAAUCAUCCUUGUAAUUAACAAAAUAGACUGUGUUCCAUCUGCUUGCACUGAUUGGGUCCAUGAAGCUGACAAGCUUUUCAGUAAGCAUAUUUUUACUUGUGCCGUCACUGGUGAAGGCAUACAAGACCUAGAGGCGGUAAUAGCGGAGAUUGUAGGCCUCAACAGGAUUCCUGCAGGGGGUCGCAAAUGGACUGUAAACAAGAGGCAAUGUGAGCAGCUUGUUCGAACUAAGGAGGCACUUGAAAGGUUGAAGUCAUCCAUGGAGGAGGAAAUUCCCAUGGACUUUUGGACAAUUGAUUUGAGAGAGGCUGCGUUGGCCCUCAGUAAUAUUAGUGGUGAAGGCAUCUCAGAAGAAGUGUUGUCCAACAUUUUUGGCAAGUUCUGCAUUGGUAAAUAGUAACGACGACCCCCUACUUCCCUGAAGGUCGGGGGGUUCGUUUUAGUAAUGGUGUGCAUGGGUUUGAGUGUAGCAUCUGAAUACUUGCUGUAUCGACAGCUCCAAUGAAAGAUGAGCAACUGGACUUGGGGCGGCAAUGGAUGCUGACUCGAAGCGCUAGAAACAAAGAAGACGGCUUUUUAUCACUAAAGACCAAUCCACAUGACAGGGGAGUCUCAACUCUAUAUAUUAUAUUCACCUCUCCGAAGAGAAGUGAAGGUCUCUCUCUCAUUAACAAUGUGCUUCAACAUCAAGAGAAAGCCAACAGCAGAUGAACUCAAGGAGAAGGAGAAGAGAAAGAAAGCGCAACAGAAAGCGAAAGAGAGGAAAAGACUAGAAACGAAAGAGAAACAUCUGCAAGCUGAGAUGAAGAGGAAAGAAAAGGGAGAGAAGAAGAGACGUGAAGAAAAGAAGAGAAAGGAGAGGAAGAAAAAGGAGAAGCUGAAGCACAAAAAGUACUAUUAUUUCUUUUAAGAGCAGUUUCUGUAUGGCAUGCAUAUCCAGAACCUUGUUUUUCUUAUCUACAAAGAUCAUGGAGUGUUUUUUUUUU